GCCAGGUAUGGUGGUGCGUGCCUGUAGUUCUAGCUACUUGAGAGGCUGAGGCAGGAGGAUUGCUUGAGCCCAGGAGUUCAAGGCUACAGUGAGCUAUGAUUGUGCCACUGCACUCCAGCCUGGGCAAUAGAGUGAGACCCUGUUUCUA
rnacentral:SRP_RNA from 1 species